GCAGAUACAAUGAGACUCUGCUGACAAUUGCGGAUCUACAGUGGCCGACCGUUUUACCUACUGGAGUAGAAGAACGGAAGUAAUGGAAGCACCUGAUCCGUUGCAUGAUGGACAUAAACAACGCCAGAUGGACCACAUUGACCAUAAUGGUGUCUGAAGGCCUUCUGCCAGACAAAAUAGCGCUGUAAGCCCUGUGUAGCUUUUUUUGACGGACCAGCCAUGGAGCCUUCUGAUGGAGCUGUCCGUGCAGAUGUGAACAAGACCCAUAUAGUGGACAUGGAGCUAAGAAGAGUAACCACUGGGUGCGUUGUACUGUGCUGUCAUUCCUCCAGAAUAACAAGAAAUUAUCAACUUCCUGUUACCAUUCCACUUGUCAAAGGGUCUGUCCUCACAUAGUAGUGUCAGAAUGCCGCUGCACUUCUUCCUGGUUUGGAUUUGCAGGAUUACUAUGGCCAACAGAGGUGAAGCUACCAAUGAACAUGGAGUACAGUAUUCUAUCUACCUCUACUGAAUUUUCUGCAGGCGCAUGAGUCAAUAAAGGGACAAAAUUGUUUCAGGAGGCAUGAAAUUCAGUUAUGAACUACGCUCCAUUUAGCAUCAGAGGAUAAUCAGGUACCUGACAUGCUGAGAGGAUACAAAGGAAGAACCAUUGGGAGGGGAGAUUUUCCCUUCAUAGAUUAUGAGAACAUUGCCGUUGUAUUAACACGCCCUGAAAGGUCCCUGUAGGGAUGAUGCAUUUACAAGAAGUGCUAGCAUCACUGUCAAGUAAGUCAGCCUCCUGGGAUAGAAGGAACAGGCCAUGCAUCAAAUGAUGGUUCCUCUACGGUCUUUCGAUCUCAUCUCUUCUUCACUGCGGGCCCAUAAAGCGCUGGAAGGGUUAAGCACUAAUAUAAUUGAACUAUCAUCCCAACUCGGAAGUCUGCUCACAUUCUAGUGUCCUUCUAAUAUAAACUGCUCUCUGCAAGUCACCAAGAACAUAUACAUCAAUAACGUUUACGGUGCUGAAUGGCUUGUUACAGAAGCAGGCUUAAGUGCAACUGAAGGCUAAUACACAUUUAACCUAUGGCAGGCAAUCUGCCCAGUAGGAGUCUUGCCAGGCUGCCUGCCUAACAAAGCUUAAUUUAAUGAGCUGCCUGGUGCCCAUUGUGUGUUCUGCAAAUAAAGCCAUGUUUUGUAGCUGCUGGCACGUUGUUGUUUGAGCGCUGUCAGUCUCUUACCUUCUCGUCCAUACCUACAACUAAAAAGAUGUUUAUUUCCCUAUGAAAACUUUCCACAACUGGUAUUUACCCCUUACCCACACGAUAGGUCUGAUCACUGGGGGCCCCGCUGCUUGGAUACCCACAGACCAUUAGAAACAGGAUCCCGUGUCCCAGUUCCUUCCUGCCUGUUUUUUGACAAUUUUGUUCAGUAGCCCAGACCUGUGGGUAUCUGCAAAUGUUUGCAAUGUAUUAUAAUGUUAUGCAUUUUACAUUGUAGUGGCUGUGUGUUCCAUCUAGAAGUGGUAUGGUUGGCAGGAACUUUUCCUCCCCUCUUGGUAGGAGUGGACUGGUCCUGCUUCUUGCCAGGAGAGGGAGUUCCAGUGAAGUGAGACAAAGAAAAGCACGGAGAGAGUGCAUUCCUGUUCAGAUAGUGGGGAAGUGAGGAAGCACACGUCAGAGCUUCCACUCCCAAAACCAGUAUCUUACUCCCCUGUGAGACCAACACUCCAGAGGGAAUCUCAGUCAGGAACCAGAUAUUCUUUUAAUGUGAGAGACCAACAAUUCAGUUUCAAGAAAACAUCUAUGCGACAGUACAGCAGAGUGAUCAGUGAAAUACAGCUUUAGAGACACUGCUGCAAGGUGAGGGACAACAGUUCAGACACCACCACCUACCUAAACCAUUGUUAGGCCAAACUAACUUCAAGUCUGUAUUACACUGGAAACCUAUAUCCACAAGUGCUUGCUAGUGCCAACCUACUGCCAUCCAACCUACCACCAUACCUCCUGAUCUGGUGCCAGAAACUGCACUUUGUAUUUAAUACUGUCUGGAUGUGCCACAGGUUAUAUUCUGCACUAAGUAAAGAGAGACUGCUAUACAUUUACUUCAGGCCUGAUUCUUUAAACUACCUUUUCAGUGUACAAAAACCCCAGGGAGCAAUAGCCUGAGGGAGUACACUGUGACACAACACCUCAUCAGGGCCACUACCACUCCCAUCCUUUGCACCAGCUCUUAGGGGCCUGCUGCAAUUACCAAUAUAAAUGCUUCCACAGCUUAGCUUCCAUUCAGCGUUCCUAUUACAGAACAGCAUAUCUGAGAUUCAGCCAUAAAACAUGUCAGCACGAUUUUCAAAUUGAUUGUUAGAGGCCGCCCAGUGGUUCACCUCAAAUUCAGCUCUCAAAACCAUUGUGUGAAUACCCCCUUAAUGGCCGCACAGGGUUUUGCAGGUAAAGCUUCAAAAAUCACCAUUAAUGGCCCCACAACUAAUUACACAGUGGUCUUACCUGCAAAAUUGUACGGCCAUUAACAAUUAUGCACAGAAUAACAUCAUGGUCUUUGGUUUCCUGUCUGUCGUUCUGUGUGGCCGAAAUAAUAAAUGCUAGAAAUAUGUAUUAAAGGAUAGGGAAUAGAU